GAAACUGUGCCUGAAUUUUAAAGGAGCACUUUGAUAGAGUGAACCAUGGGGGUUAAAGUCCCCCCAGUUUCU
rnacentral:tRNA from 1 species